rnacentral:rRNA from 1 species
GACGAACGCUGGCGGCGUGCUUAACACAUGCAAGUCGAACGAUGAAGAAGAGAAACGCGAACUUCGGUUCAAAUUUCACUUCGGAUUAGUGGCAGACGGGUGAGUAACGCGUGAGCAACCUACCUCUUACAAAGGGAUAGCCUCGGGAAACCGUGAUUAAUACCAUAUGACACAUUCAUAAGGCAUCUUAAGAAUGUUAAAGCUACGGCGGUAAGAGAUGGGCUCGCGUCCCAUUAGCUAGUUGGUGAGGUAACGGCCCACCAAGGCGACGAUGGGUAACCGGGCUGGGAGGGUGAACGGUAACAUUGGAACUGAGACACGGUCCAAACUCCUACGGGAGGCAGCAGGGGGGAAUAUUGCACAAUGGAGGGAACUCUGAUGCAGCGACGCCGCGUGAGCGAUGAAGGAAUUCGUUUCGUAAAGCUCUGUUCUAUGGGAAGAAAAGGACUGUACCAUAGGAGAAAGCCCCGGCUAAAUACGUG